rnacentral:rRNA from 1 species
UACGGGGGGGGUAAGCGUUGUUCGGAAUUACUGGGCGUAAAGGGCUCGUAGGCGGCCAACUAAGUCAUACGUGAAAUCCCUCAGCUUAACUGGGGAACUGCGUGUGAUACUGGAUGGCUUGGAUUUGGGAGAGGGAUGCGGAAUUCCAGGUGUAGCGGUGAAAUGCGUAGAUAUCUGGAGGAACACCGGUGGCGAAGGCGGCAUCCUGGACCAAUAUUGACGCUGAGGAGCGAAAGCCAGAGGAGCAAACGGG